AACGAACGCUGGCGGCAUGCCUAACACAUGCAAGUCGAACGAGAUCUUCGGGUCUAGUGGCGCACGGGUGCGUAACGCGUGGGAAUCUGCCCUUUGGUUCGGAAUAACAGUUGGAAACGACUGCUAAUGCCGGAUGAUGACGAAAGUCCAAAGAUUUAUCGCCAGAGGAUGAGCCCGCGUAGGAUUAGCUAGUUGGUGUGGGAAAGGCGCACCCAGGCGACGAUCCUUAGCUGGUCUGAGAGGAUGAUCAGCCACACUGGGACUGAGACACGGCCCAGACUCCUACGGGAGGCAGCAGUGGGGAAUAUUGGACAAUGGGCGAAAGUCUGAUCCAGCAAUGCCGCGUGAGUGAUGAAGGCCUUAGGGUUGUAAAGCUCUUUUACCCGGGAUGAUAAUGACAGUACCGGGAGAAUAAGCUCCGGCUAACUCCGUGCCAGCCGCCGCCGUAA
rnacentral:rRNA from 1 species